ensembl:lncRNA LINC03095 long intergenic non-protein coding RNA 3095
GGAGCUGGGGUUCUUACCCACUCCAGUGACUGCCUCUCAGAAAAGAACAGGGCAAUGUCCAUUCUCCUUUUAUUUUCUUUAAGCACCUGAUCAUUCUAAAAGCAUGUGUUCCUCCGUGUGUGUGAGUUGUGUACACGUGUGUGUGUGUUCCUUUCUUUUCUCGGACUCCAGGCUCAUGACUGCUUAUUUGCAUGGUGUUUUGGUGUCAAAGGAGUGUUGAAUGUGUUCUCCACACACCCAGCUUUAUUCCACUCUAGGAGUUUAACUUCUUCAGCAUUGUUAUGAGGUCCCCGGUGACCUCAGUUUCUCCUCUCCGCGUCAUCCAGGACUUCACCUGAAGCUUGAGCUACACGUAAGACUUCAUCUACCUUGCACAGGGCAAUGGAGAGAGGAUGGCAUACCAGAAUCACCAGAUGACAGACAUCGGGGUGCUGUCGGACCCGGGAAUCAGAACCUCUGCAGAUAGAUAUUUUGGAAGGCGCUCCCUAGAUUGGCACCUCUGGUUAGAACCCUGCCCAGGGACUGGACAAGUUGGGCCCAUGGCUCAUAUCUGGCCAGUGUUCAUUGCUUUGUUGAAUCACACUUAAUCCUUUGGUUUUGGUAGAUUCCUGCAAGUAGACUGACAGCUGCAUGUUUGCAGGAAAGUUAAAUAUUUUGACAGCGCAGAAGACUGCUGCAUCUGGAGGGUUCUGGGUCCAGCUAUAACCAGACUUGCCUGUCCUAAACAAAUGGAUUGACUGCUUCCGGCAUCCUCACUUUACUUCUGCAUGGUGACCAACAUCCGGAGCUUAAUUACCUGACAGCCAGGAGCCAGGCUUCUGCUGCCAUCUGGAAGGUCCUCUGCAGGAGGUGGCCCCUGUGUUGCGGUCUGUGGACUGCGCUGCCCUUUCAGCUGUGCUCCUCUGUGUGUAGAGCCGAAGUAGGCCCACAGUGUGGGGAGAAGGCCCUGUAGAAGCCACAAGUGAGAUACCAUGAGCUGGGAGUGGGGUCAUCUGGGUGGACAAUGACCUGACCUGAGGAUACUGGAUCUCUGAGUCCUGGGAAAAGCACAGACCAGCAUUAUCAGGCACAGAGUGCUUUCUUUGCUUUUAGAUUGACAGAGAUGAUGGUAAUCUCACUCACUGGGCAAAGUAGGGGAGGUGGUGACAUUACUCUGUUUGUCAGGGUGACCAGCAGCCAAGGGAGGCCACGGACACACUCAGGGGAGAUGAGCACAGCCACCCCCUAGAAUGAGGGUUUUUGAUGUUUGCUUGAAUGUUUUAAUUGUGAUAAAAUAAACAUAAUAUAAAAUGU